rnacentral:rRNA from 1 species
AUUGAACGCUGGCGGCAUGCCUUACACAUGCAAGUCGAACGGUAACAGGUCUUCGGAUGCUGACGAGUGGCGAACGGGUGAGUAAUGCAUCGGAACGUGCCCAGUAGUGGGGGAUAGCCCGGCGAAAGCCGGAUUAAUACCCCAUACGACCUGAGGGUGAAAGGGGGGGAUCGCAAGACCUCUCGCUAUUUGAGCGGUCGAUGUCAGAUUAGCUAGUUGGUGGGGUAAAGGGCGACCAAGGCAACGAUCUGUAGUUGGUCUGAGAGGACGACCAGGCACACUGGGACUGAGACACGGGGCAGACUCCUACGGGAGGCAGCAGUGGGGAAUUUUGGACAAUGGGCGCAAGCCUGAUCCAGCAAUGCCGCGUGCAGGAAGAAGGCCUUCGGGUUGUAAACUGCUUUUGUCAGGGAAGAAAUCUUCUGGGUUAAUACCUCGGGAGGAUGACGGUACCUGAAGAAUAAGCACCGGCUAACUACGUGCCAGCAGCCGCGGUAAAAC